rnacentral:rRNA from 1 species
UACGUAGGGUGCGAGCGUUAAUCGGAAUUACUGGGCGUAAAGCGUGCGCAGGCGGUGAUGUAAGACCGAUGUGAAAUCCCCGGGCUUAACCUGGGAACUGCAUUGGUGACUGCAUUGCUGGAGUAUGGCAGAGGGGGGUGGAAUUCCACGUGUAGCAGUGAAAUGCGUAGAGAUGCGGAGGAACACCGAUUGCGAAGGCAGCUUACUAAACAGAUAUUGACGCUGAGGCACGAAAGCGUGGGGAUCAAACAGG